rnacentral:rRNA from 1 species
UACGGGAGGCAGCAGGGGGAAUAUUGCACAAUGGGCGAAAGCCUGAUGCAGCUAUGCCGCGUGUAUGAAGAAGGCCUUAGGGUUGUAAAGUACUUUCAUCGGGGAGGAAAAACAAAACUAAUAAUUUUAUUUCUUGACGUUACCCGAAAAAGAAGCACCGGCUAACUCCGUGCCAGCAGCCGCGGUAAUACGGAGGGUGCUAGCGUUAAUCAGAAUUACUGGGCGUAAAGAGCACGUAGGUGGUUUUUUUAAGUCAGAUGUGAAAUCCCUGGGCUUAACCUGGAACUGCAUUUUGAAACUGAAAUACUAGAGUAUCGUAGAGGGAGGUAGAAUUCUAGGUGUAGCGGUGAAAUGCGUAGAUAUCUGGAGGAAUACCUGUGGCGAAAGCGGCCUCCUAAACGAAUACUGACACUGAGGUGCGAAAGCGUGGGGAGCAAACGAGGAUUAGAUACC